rnacentral:rRNA from 1 species
ACGCUGGCGGCGUGCCUAAUACAUGCAAGUAGAACGCUGAAGGAGGAGCUUGCUCCUUUCUGGAUGAGUUGCGAACGGGUGAGUAACGCGUAGGUAACCUGCCUGGUAGCGGGGGAUAACUAUUGGAAACGAUAGCUAAUACCGCAUAACAGUAGAUGUUGCAUGACAUUUGCUUAAAAGGUGCAAUUGCAUCACUACCAGAUGGACCUGCGUUGUAUUAGCUAGUUGGUGGGGUAACGGCUCACCAAGGCGACGAUACAUAGCCGACCUGAGAGGGUGAUCGGCCACACUGGGACUGAGACACGGCCCAGACUCCUACGGGAGGCAGCAGUAGGGAAUCUUCGGCAAUGGACGGAAGUCUGACCGAGCAACGCCGCGUGAGUGAAGAAGGUUUUCGGAUCGUAAAGCUCUGUUGUAAGAGAAGAACGAGUGUGAGAGUGGAAAGUUCACGCUGUGACGGUAUCUUACCAGAAAGGGACGGCUAACUACGUGCCAGCAGCCGCGGUAAUACGUAGGUCCCGAGCGUUGUCCGGAUUUAUUGGGCGUAAAGCGAGCGCAGGCGGUUAGAUAAGUCUGAAGUUAAAGGCUGUGGCUUAACCAUAGUACGCUUUGGAAACUGUUUAACUUGAGUGCAAGAGGGGAGAGUGGAAUUCCAUGUGUAGCGGUGAAAUGCGUAGAUAUAUGGAGGAACACCGGUGGCGAAAGCGGCUCUCUGGCUUGUAACUGACGCUGAGGCUCGAAAGCGGGGGGAGCAAACAGGAUUAGAUACCCUGGUAGUCCACGCCGUAAACGAUGAGUGCUAGGUGUUAGACCCUUUCCGGGGUUUAGUGCCGCAGCUAACGCAUUAAGCACUCCGCCUGGGGAGUACGACCGCAAGGUUGAAACUCAAAGGAAUUGACGGGGGCCCGCACAAGCGGUGGAGCAUGUGGUUU